UGUUUAUUCUGCUAGGCUUUGUCCCCAGAAAACUCUGCAAGCAGGACACACAUUCCAGGGGGUUAAAGACCAUGAUGGAAGGAAGAAAUGGCUCCUAGUGGCAGAAGGAUCAAGUAUAUCAUGGUGAGGAUUUGUGCUCCAUGGAGCAGGAAACUGAGACCUCAUAUUGUUAAUCAUAAGGAUGAAGAAGAAAGACAAUGAACUGGAAUUGGAGAGUACAAACUCCAAAUGGUGUUACUUUCUGUAGCAAGACCCUAAUUGUUUCAUGACCUUUGCAAACAGCGCUGCCACUGGCAAACAAAUUUUCAAAUACCUAAUCCUACGAGGGACAUUUCUCAUCAAAACCACCAUGUAUACCAUUAAAGUUAUUG